rnacentral:lncRNA from 1 species
GAACAGUUUGUGAUUUAUUUAUGUCCUCUAUGUGUGAGUGUUUUCUCCGCAUGUAUGUAGGUAUGCUACAUGUGUGCCUAGCGCCUACAGAGGCCAGAAGAGGAUACUGGAUGCUCAAGCUAGGCCUAGGGUCACUUUCACUUCUGUUGCCCUUAGAUCAAGAUAUAGAAAACUCUCAGCUCCUUCUCCAGCACCAUGUCCGUGUACAUACCGCCAUGUUUCCCACAAUGACAGUAGUGAACUAAACCUCUGAACUAUAAGCAAGCACCAGAUUAAAUGUUGUCCUUUAUAGG